rnacentral:lncRNA from 1 species
GCCAAACAGGUAUAUUCCUCAACCAUUUGCUUCAUUAAGUUGUCAAAAUUAGGGUUUCAAAAAUUGACCUUGGUAAAAAUUAGGGUUUCCUAUAAUCAUAUUCAGUUCCAGUAGUUUUAACUAUGAUUUUGCAUAUACUGCUAUUAGAGAGAGAAUUUUGUUUAAUAUUAGGUUAGAUCUUGAUCAUAUUACGAAUUUUUUUUAAUUACUAGGGAUCUUAUUCCUUAGAUAAGUUUCAAUGUAUCCAUAGAUGACUAUGAUUUUUGAACAAUCUGAUUUGUGUUGUCUUGAAAAGUGUCAUUUUGUUUUUGUUAGAGCAGAUUCAUGUGCUUUGUUGUUUUUUCUGAAAGCAAAUUCGGGUAGACCUUUUCAAGAAAUUUGGUUUUAAGUCUAG